UAUUAAAAAUUUCAUCUAUUUCUAUUGUUAAAAAUUAAUGUAGUUGACGGAAUAACCGGAUAACUACACGUAACGUGCCAUGUGUAUUUCAUAUUUAUGUAAAGAGACCAAAUUUUAAUAGUAAAAAUAGAUAGAAUUUUUAACA
rfam:Gossypium raimondii Chr13_contig_1355, whole genome shotgun sequence.